rnacentral:rRNA from 1 species
UACGUAGGUGGCAAGCGUUGUCCGGAUUUACUGGGCGUAAAGAGCGCGCAGGCGGUCGUUCAAGUCGCGUGUGAAAGCCCCCGGCUCAACUGGGGAGGGUCAUUCGAUACUGUCCGACUCGAAGGCAGGAGAGGGAAGCGGAAUUCCCGGUGUAGUGGUGAAAUGCGUAGAUAUCGGGAGGAACACCAGUGGCGAAGGCGGCUUUCUGGCCUGUUCUUGACGCUGAGGCGCGAAAGCCAGGGGAGCAAACGGG